UUUAAGUGUAGUUUUGCGUUUCUGUGUACAACGUUUGACCAUCCAUCUUAUCUGAAUUUUUUUAGAUUAAUAUUUUUGUUGUUAUCAGAUAAUAAAAUAUAAGUAGUACUUUAUACGUAACUUAUUUUUUUAAUUUUCUCAUAAAUUUCUUAAAUAAGAUGGACGGUCAAACCUUGGAGACGAAAACCCACAACUACACUUGAA
rfam:Oryza meridionalis cultivar OR44 (W2112) chromosome 1, whole genome shotgun sequence.